UAGGGAUUUAAUUGAAAUUAAUCAAAAAGGGGAAAAAUUAAAAGAAACUUUUAAUUGCUUAGGGGUCUAAUUGCCGAAUUUCCAAAGUCCAGGGGUCAAAUUGAAAAUGUCCAUGGCUACUUGAAACGUCGCCGUUACUGGUGGAAUCCAUUGCUGUCGAAACGUCGUCGUUGCUGGUGGAACAGCCGUGUUCGUCUUCUACAUCCCGAUUCAACAGGCUGAAGAUCUGCAACGAAGUUGAUCCAAUCGUGGACCACGUCUAUCGCCCACGAUCUCGUCGGGGAAGAUAAGAGUCCUGCAAAGACAGAUAAUUGACCCCGCCAUUGCCAUCCACUCUGUACACACCCCUGCACAAAAAAAAUAAAAGACUCAAAACAAACCCAUAGCAGGCCGGCAUCAUCUUUUUAGCGUUAAAAGCUACUGAGAAAAAAAAAAAAAAAGGAAAGCUCAGACUUGUGAUCACAGAAAGGAAAGCAAAAGGGAAACAUCAUCAGCAUUGCACGCACCUUCAGUCUACAGAAGCAGGUAUGCCCGUUUCUUCACCCCUUCUUGUAUCUUCAUUUCAAGUUUAAUUGUUACAAGAACACUGUGCGAAGGUAAUUU
rnacentral:lncRNA from 1 species